rnacentral:rRNA from 1 species
UGGGGAAUAUUGCACAAUGGGGGAAACCCUGAUGCAGCCAUGCCGCGUGUGUGAAGAAGGCCUUCGGGUUGUAAAGCACUUUCAGCGAGGAGGAAAGGUUGUUGGCUAAUACCCGGCAACUGUGACGUUACUCGCAGAAGAAGCACCGGCUAACUCCGUGC